rnacentral:sRNA from 1 species
AAACAAUAUGGCAGUCGGGUUUUUCGUGUAAACAAUAUGAAAAUGGUUACAUUUUAAGCACGUCUAUCAAUGAAUGGCUUUAGCAAGGCUCCCACCAUUAUCUGGCUCUACAGGCACUCCUUAUCUUUUAGAAAGACUUGAAGGACCAUCUUACAGGGUCAAUGGCAAACUGCAUGCAUUGCCUUCUCCAAGAGCACUAAAGCCCUAUGUAGAUACCCAAGCUGGGGAGC